AUGUUCUCGCCAGUUGAUGCACAAAGGGUCCUUGCAAUUCCUUCGUCACAACAUGAUAUGUCGGAUUUUGUCGCUUGGAGAUAUUCAAAGAAUGGAACUUUUUCUGUUCGAUCAGCAUAUGCAGUGCAAUGGGAACACCAACACGGGGGAAAAUUAAGGAGAACCGAUGAUAUGGGACACAUGACUAUCAAUCCUAUUUGGAGUGAGAUUUGGAAAUUAUCUUGUCCAUCGAAGGUUAAAAUUUUCAUUUGGCGCACACUGCAUGGCACCCUCCCGUGUAGAGUUAAUUUGGAGAAUAGACAUAUAAAGGUUACCCCCAAUUGUCCGGCAUGCUCCUUUGGAUCAUAGGAUACAAAGCAUAUAUUAUUUCAGUGUCAGAAAGCAAAGGAGGUUUGGAAAAAACUGGGUCUAGAUCAGGUCAUUAAAAGAGUUUGCGAAGUUGAUUAUGCUGGUGAGGCGGUGCUUGAAUUUUUGCUUUCUAUGCCUGAAUGGGAGCUUAUGAUCUUGGGUAUUCCGAAUGUCCGUGAAUUAAUUGCAAUUUCAACUUGGUAUUUAUGGUGGGAGACGCGAAAACUGGUCCAUAAGGAAUUCGUGCAAUUACGUUAA
rnacentral:rRNA from 1 species